GUGUUCACUUCAGCAGCACGUAUAUUAAAACCAGAAGGAUACAGAGAAGACUAACAUGGCCCCUGCACAAGGGUGAUACACAAGUUCAUGAAGCGCCCCAUAUUUUU
rnacentral:snRNA from 1 species